rnacentral:misc_RNA from 1 species
CGGUCCUUACCUUGCAGUUUUGUAUG